rnacentral:rRNA from 1 species
UACGUAGGGUGCAAGCGUUGUCCGGAAUCACUGGGCGUAAAGGGCGCGUAGGCGGGAUGGCAAGUCGGUCGUGAAAUCCUUCGGCUCAACCGAAGAACGUCGGCCGAUACUGCCGUUCUUGAGGGAUGCAGAGGAGAUUGGAAUUCCCGGUGUAGCGGUGAAAUGUGUAGAGAUCGGGAGGAACACCGGUGGCGAAGGCGGGGUCUACUGG